GAUGAACGCUGGCGGCAUGCCUAACACAUGCAAGUCGAGCGAGCAGAUCCCUUCGGGGUGAAGCUAGCGGCGGACGGGUGAGUAACACGUGGGCAACCUGCCUCAUAGAGGGGAAUAGCCUUCCGAAAGGAAGAUUAAUACCGCAUAAGAUUGCAGCUUCGCAUGAAGCAGCAAUUAAAGGAGUAAUCCGCUAUGAGAUGGGCCCGCGGCGCAUUAGCUAGUUGGUGAGGUAACGGCUCACCAAGGCGACGAUGCGUAGCCGACCUGAGGGGGUGAUCGGCCACAUUGGGACUGAGACACGGCCCAGACUCCUACGGGAGGCAGCAGUGGGGAAUAUUGCACAAUGGGGGAAACCCUGAUGCAGCAAUGCCGCGUGAGUGAUGACGGCCUUCGGGUUGUAAAGCUCUGUCUUCGGGGACGAUAAUGACGGUACCCGAGGAGGAAGCCACGGCUAACUACGUGCCAGCCGCCGCAGUAA
rnacentral:rRNA from 1 species